AAAUACACAGACAUACCAUGAAAUUAUGUUUUGUGUACGUAGUUUUGUUUUGUGACACGGUCAAUAUUUUCGAAUGUGCUACACGGGCAGAUGAAAACAACCCAUGGUCUCGCGCGGAAAUGAGCGAAAUGAAAGAGACGUAUCCGGUAGUUAGUAUUUAUCCGGAAUGCUAGUGCGCAAUGGCGGCAAUAAACAAACGAAGCGGAUACGUUGAAGGAAAAACUUCUUUAUUUAGUUCUUACCGUUAUGUAGACCAGUGAAAAUAAUGUACAACGAUUAAUCGCAUAAAUCCCAUGAAGAAUAGAAAACUGAAAGUAGGGCAAACAUAGAUCCCUGGACAUAUCAGAGGUGAGAUCAGGAAACAAAGCCUGUCUGAAACUCCAAAAUGACAUUUCCAGAAAGCUGAAGAAUGGAUAAAAAUGUAUCUACCAUCUUACAACCCAGAUUUCAUUCCACUGAAAAGAAAAGGGACAGGAAAUUUUGCAUUUCCAUGUCUUGGAAGGUGAAUAGGUGAAAAGUCAAUAGAUGCUUACCAUAUCAGAUGCUUGCAGAGGAUACUGGGGAUAAAGUAGCAGAAAAUUAUGGAAAACAGGAAGUGGCAGCCAGGACUGACAUCAAUGCAAUAAACAAUGAGCUGAGGAGACGGUGAUGGAACUAUAUAGGACACGUGCUAUGGAGGGGAGGUGACAAUGACAGUGAGAUGGCGUUGGGUUGGACACCAGAAGGGAAGAGGGCAUUUAAGAGACCGAAAACAACCUGGAGAGGAACAGUAGAAGCAGAAAGAAAGAUUGCAGAAUGGAGAAACUUGAAUGAGAUCAAGAUGGUAGCAAUAGAACAGAGUGGAUUGGAGAGAGUCUCGGUCCUAUGUGUUUUUGGCAUGGAGAGAACUAAGUAAUGUCUAGAUUGUUAGAGAUAGGAUGACCAGGAAUAUGAAUGGAUGUGCUGGAAACUGUACUAAGACUCUUAUGUAUUUGGAUAGAUUUACAUACCAUCAUGAUUUUGCUAUGAAAAACUUGAAAAAAAUCCUCAUCUCAUAUUGUAGCUGACAUUGUACAUUUGUACUUAUUAAUAUUUCAAAUGAACAUAUUUUUAGACAUACAAUAUCUAAACUUUGGAGUCCAUGUACAUCUCCACAUUGGAUAAUAGGUUAUGAUGUAUGUGUGUGAAAUCUUUUCCUAUGGUAUGCACAUGUUAACACAUUAGUUUAAAUGAUGAUGUAUAUCUUAUGACUAUGGAAGAGAUUGUGUUCAGAACAGACUAUGUGUCUAGAAGAGUUGUUGCCCUUGAAUGUAAUUCAUUAUUUACAUGGGGUUGAAAAAUAAUCCAGCACACAGUAGUACUAAAUGCAUUAUGUUAAAAUACAUUUAUGAAGGGUAUAAGUGAUACUGUCCAUUACUGAUUAAUACACUUUGUGAAAUCAUGUUAUUGUUAUGUUUAAUAAAUUUCAAGGCUGCACCUUUGUACAUUUUACAAUAUAAUAUUCUGCACUUUGGUAUCAAAUUCUCUUAACCUAAUUUAAGAGUUACAUAUUCAUUAACAGCAAGUUAAUUAUGAUAUGCUAUGUAGUUUGUCAAAGGGGCAUUAGCUGGGAAAGUGAUGGCAACCUUUUUAUUCAAAAUCUCUCAAUAAGAAUAUAUAUUAAUGCCUAAUAAGAAUAUUUAUUUUGUACAAAAACAUGAGAAACCUAAUAAAACGACAAUAGAUUGUCACUUUUAGUGUAUAGAAAUACAUAAGGACGAAUUAUUGUCUUGCAAGACAAUAAUCAUUUAAUUACCAAAAUUCAUGUGAUAUUCAUACACAUUAAUGUGCCUGUUUUGGGGUUAAAAGGUGUUUGAAAUAAUUAAAUACUGGUGUUAUCACUGAAAUAUACAUGUAUGAUAUGGAGCAAAUUUCAUUUAAUUAAUUUUUUGGUAUCAAAAUGGCAGCUAAUGCCCCUUUAAGAAUAACUAUUUUCAAUGCACAUCAUAAUAACCUUGUUAAGCUUGAAAGAAUAUUGGCUAUAAGGAAUCUUGAUCAUAAAUAUUAAAAAUAUUUUUAAUUUC